UAAAAGAACACCUACACAAGUCUAAUAACUGAGCAAUCUGUAAACAACUGAAAUAGGCUUGAACACUGUUAAAUGCAUUGGAUUUUUGAAAAAUGAAAAAGAAAAUAGCUAAACGGGAGCAUCUGCAUACAAAAUGAAGGAAAAGGACCCUUAAAGGCAUUGGAGUUUUCAUGUAUUAAGGCAAUUCACAGCAAAACAGACUGGUCAAAACGCCAAACUUCAGAUUGCUUUAACAAGUCAUCUCAGUAGUAUGCUUCAACCAAAGCAAUGUUGACUGAAGACUACUCAGAGGAAAUUGCAAUUCACCAUACUUAGGUACCCCACAAGCAAUAUAACUCAUGCACUAUUCUGAACAACUAC
rnacentral:lncRNA from 1 species